AUUGAACGCUGGCGGCAGGCCUAACACAUGCAAGUCGAGCGGAACGGCGGACGGGCGGGUGAGGCCUAUGAAGCUGCCUGGUAGUGGGGGAUAACGUCCGGCAACGGGCGCUAAUACAGACUACUAUCAGAUGAGCCUAGGUCGGAUUAGCUAGUUGGUGGGGUAAAGGCCUACCCAGGCGACGAUCCGUACCUGGUCUGAGAGGAUGAUCAGUCACACUGGAACUGAGACACGGUCCAGACUCCUACGGGAGGCAGCAGUGGGGAAUAUUGGACAAUGGGCGAAAGCCUGAUCCAGCCAUGCCGCGUGUGUGAAGAAGGUCUUCGGAUUGUAAAGCACUUUAAGCUGGGAGGCGUUACCAACAGAAUAAGCACCGGCUAACUCCGUGCCAGCAGCCGCGGUAAUAC
rnacentral:rRNA from 1 species